AUGUAAUGCCUAUAGCGUUAAUGCACCUAGGAUCCCAUUAGAACUUUGUCAUUAAGUUCUCUUGAGCUAGAGUAGUAUUGGGAUGGGUGACCUCUCAAGAAGUCCUAGUGUUUUAUAUG
rfam:Picea glauca, whole genome shotgun sequence.